UCAGAGGGGUGGAAUGGAAUUAUUUUUUUUUCCUUUGUAGUUGUAUAAUGUAAAUACCAAGUCAAUAUAGAAUUCAUAAAUACUUGCUUUAUAAUCUAGUAUUGUUUUCAUGACUUCUGUGGAUUCUGCUGUUGAAUAUUUUCUUGGCUUCCAAAAAUUUCUCUGUCGCUUUGCCCGAUUCCGAGCUUUUAUUUUCUCCAUUGUGCUGUACUGUGCAUUUGCAUUCACAGCUGUACUUUCUUUUAGUGUAUGAGUGCUUCAUAGUCUCAGGAAAUGUAGGGCUUAUGGUCAGUAAGCUGAAUGGUCACUGGUUGGUCUCAUUUUCCAUCUUAAGAACCUCCCUGUCUUUAUGAGUUUUGCUGAUGUGGUGUUUUGAACACUAAGCCAGCUGUAUUUCCCACAUUGACCUCUUGUGUCUUCAUACUAUUUUUACCUGAUGGGCUCCAGGGUCUGUUCUCAUUCUGUUCUAAUAUUAAUGUGCUCUUUGUAUUAUAACAGAACUGGAGAUUUGCUACCCUAGUGCACUGAAAAGGAAUCUUUAUCUUGUCACAUGGUUUAAAGCAGGAAAGAUUCACUUUAAGGAAAAAGUGACAUUAAGUGUAUAUCUCUUUGUAAAUAACAGCUCUUUUCUCUGUGUUCUCUUCCAUGACCAUUUUUAUAGGCUUCAUUAUAACAGUCUAUCAAGAUUUAAAGCCAGCAAAGAUAAGCUAAAGUUGGAAACCUAUUUCUAAUAUAUUUACUAUCUUUUCUGAUUAUUAAAGUUAUCUGUGUAUGAAAUUUAUUAAAUAAGGUUAAUUAUUAGAAAAGAAAAAAGCACUCUAAUAUUCCACUUCCUAGAGAUAACUAUAAUUGAUAUUUCAUGUAUGUCUUUUCAGACCUUUUACAUGAAUGUGUGCAUAUAUACAUGUGAGAAUGAAAUUUUGAAACCGAUCAGGACUCUUGUGGUUCCCUCCCAGGAACUAAGGCCCCCACUCAGGUGGAGGAUGGCAACUUCAGGCAGAGCACAAGUACAUGGACCCCAGACUGGUUGGAACUAGAAGGCUGAUGAUUGAGAUUCCUGGAACACUCUGUUACUUCCCCACCAGAGGAGGGUUAUACAACCUGCAACCCUUCCCCCAAAUUUUGCCUAUAAAAACUCUUUCCCCAAAACCAUUGGGGGUUCAGGCUUUUUAGAACAUGAGCUGCCCAUUCUCCUUGCUUGGUCCUUGCAAUAAACCUUUCUCUGCUCCAAAUUCCAACUUUUCAGUUUGUUUGGCCUUACUGUGCAUCAGGCACACGAACUUGUGUUUGUCAACAAUUUAUUUUACAUACUUGAGAUUAUAGCAAAUACUUUUUUAAAGUGCUUGUCUAAUUCUGUUUGGUAGAUGUGAGAUAAAGAUUGAUGAAUUUGUAACCUCAUAUAGUCUUCCUUUAGCCUUUUUUCAUGUGGAAUUUUGUUCAUGGUGGAACAGUUUUGGACUAAAGAUUCUCAGUUUUUCCGUGAAAAUUUAAAACAUCAAUAGUGGGUGAUAUCUAUUUCAAUCGAUUUAUCUUCAUUUAUUUUUCAAAGCAAAUUAGAAAAGUAUCAAUAUUAACCAAUAUUUUAUGUAGAAUUCCCAAUCUGCUUAUUUCCAGAAAGAAGCAGAAGUAAUGAAUUAGUAUUUACUGAGCAUCUACUGUGGGUCAGAUGUGCUCUAGGCACCUUGUAUGCAAAUUCUGUUUAAUUCUCAUGGCAUUUAAGUCAUUGUGUACGUAUUUCUAUCUCUUAUAAGGCAUCUGACUCUGCAAAGUGGUUGCUUUGCUACAAAGUAGCUGAGCUUGAUUCAAACCUCAAGUUGUCUUCACUCUGGAGCCCAAGUUACUUCUCACACCAUACUGCCUCUAUACAUUGUCUCCACAGUUUAUGAGUAAGGAAACCAUGAUGCUAUAGACCUCAGUACAAUCUGAAGAAUUACACCAGGCCAUCAGCUACUUUCAGUAUGAUCCUGCCAGUUCUCAUGAACCCACAAGCAUUGAAGGAUGCCACCUGUUCAAAUAAUUAUAGAAUCUCUCUUGUUAGAUUUGAACUAGUUCAUAAAACAUUCCUCAAAAGCUUUUUAUCAUUUGCUUCUUCCUCCAUACCCCUUUCCUUUCUGCUCCAGUCUAUCCUUAAAAAGUAGAUACCUAAGAGAAAGUUUUAUCAUCUCAGCCACCAUUGACAUCCAGAGCCAACAACAGGAUAUUUCUAAAACCCUCCAGAAUCAUGUGUGCAUUUAUAAAAAUAAACAAAAAGAAACAUUGUCCCUAACGUAUUUGUUAAUGAAGUUUCACAAUGCCUACUCUGAAAAACUGCAGGAUUAAAAAUAAGCAAAUGUUCCAAGUUAAAUAAAAAAUGUAAAAAUUAAAAAUAUGUUUUAAUCAGUUGAAAAUACUUUUUAAUAGGAAAUUAAAACAUGCCUUUGUUUCCCAAUCCUUGUUGGUGAAAUUUGGAAAACUAAAGAACUAACUGCUAAGCAUCUAGUAAAUGUGUUUUUACAAAUGAGUUUGUAAUCAUUGAUAUUUAGAAUGGGAAGGAAUAUAAGUAUGAAUUACUCCAAUUACUGCUUUUACUAGGACAAUUAAGUUAUUUGUCAAAGGUCACAUAUAUUGUGUGGUGUUCGUAAUGUGGUUAAAUGUGAUGAUAUGAUAUUCAUACUUCAUACAAAUAAAAAAUCAUUUAGUUGAAAAGAACACAAAAUAUUGUUACUCUCAUUUUUAUGUUGCAUAAAGCUUUUAUUGAAAUAAAAUAUAGAGGAAAAUGUACUGUUAACCAAAAUUUUAGAAAUGGAGAUCUGAUUGAAAUAAGAAGGUGUUUUUUGGGGUUUUUUUAGGACUGCAAUCCAGGAGACACAGAUUCAAGAAGCACUUGAAUUGCAUUUCACCAGACUACAAAAUGUGGGAGGCUUAUAAAGGCAAAGUACCACAAGGUUACAGUUAGUUAUAUGAGUUGUUUAUCAAGAAUUAUAAUUAGAGCUGGCAAGAAGUAAGAGUGCUUGUUAACUAAGGAUUGGUUGGGGUCCGAAAUGGUUGCAUAGUUACAAGGCAGGACCUUGCGACCAUAUUGUUGCAGCUGGCAGAACUUGUUCUGAAUACAGCUAAUGGUGUACUUGGGUCUGGUAUAGUUCAAAUAAAGUUCAGGCUCUCAGUAGAGCAGAGACAUUUGUUUCUAUGACCAGAACCUCAAUGGCCACCCAACUCCAUUUUGUAUGCCUGAAGUGUGAUUACUCUAUCAUAAUUUUAAUUUGUCAUCAGUAUAAAUCACAACUGUAUUACUCAAUUAAUUUUCAUAAAGCAUGCCCACAAAGUCAGUAACCCCAAAGAUUCAUUUGUUACCCAGUCAGUGACCACUAUUCUGACUCUAACAGCAAAACUUAGUUUUAUAUUCGGAGAAUACAGAGAGGAAUAUAAUUAUGUUCUAGUUAACUAUUAUCCCAGAUUUGUCAAAUAGCGAUAUUUUUCCUUACUGAAAUACUUUAAAAUAUUUUAAAGUUUAUCUUUUCAAUUUUUAUAUAGUAACUCACUUUUUGCUAUCUAGUUCUAUGAGUUUCGAUAUAUUCACAGAACCUUAUCCAUAGUGAAGAUACAGAACAUUUCCAUCACCCCCAAAAUUCCCUCAGUUUGCUCUUCCUUUGUACACAACACUUUCUCUCAACCUUAACCCCUAAAAACAACUGAUCUAUCCUGCUUCCUUAGAAUUUGCCUUUUCUAGAAUGUUAAAUUAAUAAAAUUGCACAGUAUGUACCCUUUUGAACCAGGCUUUUUCUAUUUGCAUAAUACAUCCAUGUGGAAGCAUGUAUUAGUAGUUGAUUUUUAUUGAUGAAUAGCAUUUCACUGUAUAGAUGUAAAGAAGCUUGUUUACCCAUUCACCAACUGUAGGACAUUUAAGUUUUUUCUAGAUUUUGGAGAUUAUGAGUAAAGUUCCUAUUACUAUUCAUAUAAAAUAUGGGCAAAUAUAAGUUUUCAUUACUCUUGAGCACGGAUCACUGGGUUAUAUGAUAAACGUAUACUUAAUGUUAUUUUAAAAACUGCUGAAAUGUUUUCUAAAGAGACUGUACCAUUUUGCGUUCCCACAGCAAAGGAUAAGAGUUCAGUUGCUCUGCAUCCUUGCCAACACAUUAUUAUUUGUUUUCAACUUUAGAUAUUUUAAUAGAUGUUUAAUGGUAUUUUUUUGUUUUCAAUUUGCUUUUAAUUAAUAGCCAAUGAUGUUGAGCAUCUUGUCAUGUGCUUAAUAUGCUGAUAAAGUAUUCUUUUACUCCAA